UCAGAAAGAGUAGCCAAUGCACUUAACUGGCGAGCCAUCUUUUCCAGUCCCUUUUGUUAAUUUUAGUUAUGUGUAUGUGUCUGCAUGUGGUACACAGGCCCACAAAGACCAGAGGCAUUGCAUCUCCUGGAGCCGAAGCUAUAGGUGAUUGUGAGCCAACCCACGCCCCAGGUGGAUGCUGGGAAUCAGACUUCAGUCCUCUGGAAAAGCAAUGAGCACUUUAACCACUGUUUAAUACCACAAGAGUCAGACCGGAUCUCCGCCAUUUUGCCUUUCCUAUCUCUUACUCCAGGAAAUGAUUUGUCUCUUCCUGCAGUGUCUGCAACACCUUCAGAAUGGACUGGAAGUUUCAUUUCCACAUCUAGAAAUUUCUGGUCUGAUAACUAUGUCUCACCGGCACCUUUGAGGACAGCAGUCUUCUCUUCUGUGCUCUCCCUGUUAGUUCACAGCACUGUGUGUGUGUAGGACCAGGACUUGCAGGGCUUGAGCACUGCUUCCCCAGGACAAAGUCCAGCUGCCUUAGCUGUGGUGCUCCUCUGGGUCCCUCACACAAUGGCCACUGUCAUCCAGAACACUCCCUUGGGGGAGGGGGUCAAGCAACUUGAGGGAGGAGUGAGGGGAGGACUCAUGAUUUCCAUGAGUCCAGAGCCUUCAUUCCACCUGCAAGCCCGUGCCAGUCCCCGUCCUCCUCUCCAAAGAAAAAGAAGGCAGAGUCUGGACUAAGUGUGGUGGAAUUCUGAGUCUGGGUGGAAAGAAGCAGGACAGUUUCAACUCACCAGCAGAAGAGAGACCAUUGCCCUCUCCAGCUAACCCAAAGGCUUGCCACCCCAGUACCUGGACUGUCUCCUGCUGCUAUCUUCCCUUCAGUCUUGCUGGCAAAGACAGGUAAUGUGAGAGAGCCUAGCCUGCAGGUGUUUCUUCCAUUGACCUGCAGAAAUUAUAUGUCUCCCCUCAUGUAUACAUUGAUAAAAUAAAUUGCCAAGCUCAAUACUAGCAAGGACCCUGGUCCAGAGCGUGAGGUGGGACGGUAGUUGCCCUGAGUACCCUCCAUUGACCUACGGCAAUGUGUCAGGGGCUCCUCAAGUAUCUCUGUUAUCUCUUGGGAAGGGUGGUCCACAGGAAGCCCUGCUUUUUUGUUAGGAUCCUGGAUCCUUCAGUGACGUCUCUGGCGGCAUAGUGAUACCUCUCUCUUGGCUAGCAGAGAGCCCAGCUAGACUCUAGGUUUAUAUAACAUCUCCUGUCAGCCAGUUCACUCUGUGCUUUCUCCAGGAACGUGACACAAGACCUCUGUCUCACUUGGUCUUCCGGAGUUGGGUUUCUAGGGAUGAGUGUAGUGAGGAGGCUUUGUAGGGCAAGCCUAGGGAGGGUCCAGGUGGGGUCUAAAGGUGAUGUGGAUUUCCAGUAGGAUCUGGGGCAUUCAACCCCACAGUAUUCUACCAAGCAAAAAACCUUUGGUUUAAAAGCAAGGAACAAGGGGCUGGAAAGAUGGCUUAGUGGUUAUGUGAGCACUGGCUUCUCUUCCGGAGCACCUUGGUUUAAUUCCUAGUAUCUACGUGGUGGCUCACAAUCACCCGUAAAAGAUAAAGUCGCAUUUGCUUAACCCCAACAGACAUUUUGGCACCUGCUCCUUUGCUGCUCGAUCCGUGGUGGGCUUCCAACAGACCUGUGGAACCAUUGCAGUCACUCAGGGCCCUGUACACAGAAGGGUUCUGCCCUCGUUUAAAUGCUCUGUGGUUCCAACUGAGUGGUUUCUGGACAGUGAGUCUGUGUUACCAUCCUGCACUUGACUUUCUGUUUUAAGAGCUCUGGGAGGGGGCUGGAGAGAUGGCUCAGCGGUUGAGAGCGCCCGGCUGCUCUUCCAGAGGUCCUGAGUUCAGGUCCCGGCGACCACAUGGUGGCUCACAACCAUCUGUGAUGAGAUCUGAUGCCCUCUUCUGGUGUGUCUGGGGACAGCUACAGUGUACUCAUAUAUAAUAAAUAAAUCCUUUAAAAAAAAAAAAAAAAGAGCUCUGGGAGGGUUGGGGAUUUAGCUCAGUGAUAGAGCACUUGCCUAGGAAGCGCAAGGCCCUGGGUUUGGUCCCCAGCUCCGAAAAAAAAGAACCAAAAAAAAAAAAAAAAAAAAAAAAGAGCUCUGGGUUCUCCAAUGAGAAGGGGAAAUUUCAGGUUAUCUCUGUGGCUCUGUCCAUCCAUGGGCCGCAGAAAGUAACUGUCUACUGAAUGCUAACGGGGGUAGGGGAAGUUAGGGGACAGCUAACACCUUGCUCUGUGGAGUGUUGCAGAGAAGCCCGCAGAUUAGCUGGAGUUACACUCCAGGAUCUGUGACUGAGAAGGACUCCCUUCACAUCCGUCUGGUAGCCAAGUCCACUGCUAUUCAAGGUGUCAGCAAAGGAGAAAGAAGAUUUUAAGCUCAGGGCAGUGGUGGUGCAAGCCCGUAAUUCUAGCCCUCAGGAGGCAGAGGCAGGCGUGCCUCAUGAGUUCGAGGUCAGCAUGAUCUAUAGAGUGAGUUCGAGGAUAGCCAAGGACAGCCAGGGCUACACAGAGAAACUCUGUCUUAAAAACAAACAUGGGGGUUGGGGAUUUAGCUCAGUGGUAGAGCGCUUGCCUAGCAAAUGCAAGGCCCUGGGUUCGGUCCCCAGCUCUGAAAAAUAGAAAAAAGAAACAAACAAACAAAAAACAAACAUGGGUUGGAGAGAUGGCUCGGUGGUUAAGAGCACUGACUGCUCUUUCUGAGGUCCUGAGUUCAAAUCCCAGCAACCACAUGGUAGCUCAGAACCAUCUGUAAUGAGAUCCGAUGCCCUCUUCUGGUGUGUCUGAAGGCAGCUACAGUAUACUUAUAUAUAAUAAAUAAAUCUUUUUUAAAAAAGUCAAACAAAACAUAAAUAAAUAAAAAAGAUUUUUAGACAAUUGAUAUGGGAUAUAGACACAGUAUAGAAGCCUAGGAGAAAGUAGCAACCUGAACAUAAUACAUAUAUAUGGUCUAGCACAAUUUGGUUGAUUUAGCAAGGAAUGUUGGGAAAUGACUAUGGAAAGACAGAGAGACCACACUGGGGACCCCAGUGGCCCUUUGCUCCUGAUCCCUUAUGAGAGCGAGUCGUUUGUGUGGUUGGAAUGUAUGAUGCCUUUAUGUCUUUUGCCUGCAUGUAUGUCAACAUGAACCUUCUGGAACUGGAUUUACGGGUGAUUGUGAACCACCACGUAGGUACUAGGAAUCAAACCGAGGUGCUCACAUAACUACUGAGCCAUCUCUGCAGCCCCUUGCUCCUGGCUUUUAAACCAAAGUAACGAGGACCUCAAUAGGAAUUCAAUAAAUGUUUGCCCAAUGAAUUGGUAUGAA
ensembl:lncRNA